GAUGAACGCUAGCGGCAGGCCUAACACGUGCAAGUCGAGGGAGAAGCCCUUUCGGGGGCAGAAACCGGCGCACGGGUGCGUAGCGCGUAUGCAACCUACCUUUCACAGGGGGAUAGCCCGAAGAAAUUUGGAUUAAUACCCCAUAAUAUUAUUGGAUGGCAUCAUUUGAUAAUUAAAACUGCGGUGGUGAAAGAUGGGCAUGCGUCCUAUUAGCUAGUUGGAGUGGUAACGGCACCCCAAGGCUACGAUAGGUAGGGGUCCUGAGAGGGAGAUCCCCCACACUGGUACUGAGACAGGGACCAGACUCCUACGGGAGGCAGCAGUGAGGAAUAUUGGUCAAUGGUCGGAAGACUGAACCAGCCAUGCCGCGUGCAGGAAGAAUGCCUUAUGGGUUGUAAACUGCUUUUAUAUGGGAAGAAUAAGGCGUACGUGUACGUUGAUGACGGUACCAUAUGAAUAAGCAUCGGCUAACUCCGUG
rnacentral:rRNA from 1 species